CACGGCGCAACAGAAAGCCGCCGUCAAGGAAGGCUUUCUUAGCCGUGGAAAAAUUCCAGGAGUUCUAGGAUGUGUGGACGGGAGUCUGAUAGCCAUCGUUCGCCCUAAGAAGCUCGGCCCCGGCGAAACGGAAUCGUACUGGAGCCGUAAAGGGUAUUACGCCCUCAACUGCAUGGUCGUGUGCGACGCGAAGCUGAAUAUCCUGGAAAUUGACCCACGGUUUCCGGGAUCGUGCCACGAUUCUUUCGUCUGGAGGCAUUCUGCAUUUCGCCGCCGCCUCACUCGUGGCCUGUUACUUCAUGGAGAAGUCUUGCUUGGGGACUCUGGGUACCCGCUAGAGCCAUGGAUCAUGACUCCUGUGCCUGGUCACCCAAAUCGCCUCACG